GGCACGGGGAGGUAGUGACGAAAAAUAACGAUACGGGACUCAUCCGAGGCCCCGUAAUCGGAAUGAGUACACUCUAAACCCUUUAACGAGGAUCAAUUGGAGGGCAAGUCUGGUGCCAGCAGCCGCGGUAAUUCCAGCUCCAAUAGCGUAUAUUAAAGUUGUUGCGGUUAAAAAGCUCGUAGUCGAAUUUGUGUCUCG
rnacentral:rRNA from 1 species